UCCAAACAAAUUGCACGUUUCCAACAAACAACGUUAACUGGCCUGUAGGAAAUAUCCAAGACGAGACCUCUGAAGCAAGCCAAAUCGUCAGUCUCAAACUCGUAGUCGUAGUCAAGAUCAACAAUGGCGUCGUCACCGCUAACGCUCUCACCCCUCACACCAACACGCACCUCCGCAGCAUGCCGAGCGGAUUUCCUCAAAGCGGAAGUAGAGGAUGUAGAAGGGGAGGGACCAGACAAGGGGAUCCUGCGUUUGAGGGUUCGUACUGAUCUGAGCUUGUAUCUGAAUCGAUCUUUGGGUUCUGAACCGAAUGGAACUCCGUCGCCGUUGAGCAGCAACUUAACCCGACUGUGUGCAGUGAAUUGGGCCAUUGCUGAACUGAAAUUGGGUCCGGCAAGCAGUCAAUGGAAAUAGAAAUCGAGAUUGCUGCUCGUCG
rnacentral:misc_RNA from 1 species